UUGAAUAAAUUGAUAAGAGAUUUGCUGCUUCUCAUCUCCAGUGGAGAUAGACGAUUUGGUGACAUUCUCUGGUGGGCUACAGGAGGUGGGGGGAACAUCGUGAGGAAGAGAUCCCUUAGAUGUCCUUUCCACCUUUUUGUUGAGUUCUGGUAGAGAAAAAACACUGGUUAGGCAAGGUGGCCCAUCACCACCUUGUGGGUUUGUCCUUCUAAGGCUCCCUUGAACUUAACCUCUGCUUGGCGGAGACCCGAGGAUCUCCUGGUCGACGCCCAGAAGAUGCUCUGUGUUGAACCCGACCUUCCCACGGCCCAAACAGGCAAACAAAUGGCGUCCCUUGGAAAGAAUCAGUGUAGCCUGGCUAGAAGCCUGGCUGGAAGCUCGGCAGCGGGCUAGGAGUAGGGAGUACGACGGGGAUAAGUCUAGCGGCUGCACCCAAGAAAAUAGGGGUGUCCACUGCACCUGCAAACCCCACGCGCGCCUCGGCUUGGCCCCCUGCACCCCAGCCGGCUGCCCACCCUGGAGAGGCUGCCUGGGGGGCAGCAGUGUGUGUGUGUGUGUGUGUGUGUGUGUGUGUGUGUGCGUGUGUGUGUGUGUGUGUGUGUGUGUGUGUGGAGGUGGGGGGGGGGUGUCGGCGGCCGCUACAAGGAGGCGGCGAGGAGGCUGGGGAGGGGGGCGCGGCGGGCGGUGGCGCGGUCCAGGGGGAGGCGGGCGGAGGGAAGGCGCUGCCGCCGCCGCCUCACCCGCGGCGACACAGACGCCGGGAGCGGCCGAGGCGAGUGACUUCUUCUGACUUGAGCUUGCAGUGUGCUUUGAGAGAUCCUCUACCAGGUAAAUGCAGUACAAAUUUCCUCUGGUUUAUAAACCAAGACUUUCUCCCAAGAUUUCCUGAGAUCAAAAUCCAACAUCUUAUUUAAUCCCUGCAACAGCCCUUAAGUUAGGUUUAUUUUCAUGUUAUACAGGAGGAAAUUGAAACAUAGAGAAGUUAGACAGCUUGCACAGAGAAGUUAGAUCAACAUGCACAAAGGCGUUCAUCACACCAUAAACUAUACUUGCCAGAUAAAGCAAAACAAGAGGAGAGAGCUGAAAUAUCCAACAGCAGGCAAACUGUUAAAUCAUUUGAUGAAGUUACUUUAAUAAUAGUCUACAUGAGAUUAAGAAGUUUUUUUCCUAUUCCUCAUUUGCUAAAAGCAAAUUAAUUAUUUUGGGUAUUGAAUUUUAUUGAAAGCUUUUCUAAUCUACUAAGCUGUUAAAAUGAUUUUUAUUCUUUAUCUGUUCAUGGUAAUUUCUAUUAAUUGAUUUUCUAAUAUUAUAUACCUUGCAUUGCUAAGAUAAAACCAACUUGGUCAUGAUGCAUUUUCCUUUCUAUCUUUAGCUAAGAUUUAGUUUUAGUCUUGAGAUUGGAUACAGUUUUCCUUUCUGGUAUUUUCCGUGCCAGGAAUGGUUUUCAAAAUAUUGGAAUUACUUGAAUGUUUAAUGAUAAAGGAGUAAAACAUUUGAGUCCUGUUGUUUUCUUUGAAAGGAGAAUUUUUACCUGCUCAUUUAGUUUCUGAUUUAUUUACAUUUUCUGAUUUCUUCUUGAGUCAGUUUUGACAAAUUUUGUUUUUGGUUAUAUGUUCAUUUUCUGUUGGAUAUAUAUGCAGCAAGGGAAUGUCUGGAUCAGGGGGGUAAGUAUACAUUCAGUUUUAGCAGAUAAUAUCAGUUUUUCUAAAUGCUUGUAUUGAUUUAAAAUGUACAUGCUAAGCGGGAGUAUAUGAGAGUUCCGAUUGCUCUGUAUCCUUUUCAGCACAAGGUAUUUCUGUUUUGGUUGAUUAUUUAGUCUGUGCUAGUGGGUGUGAAGUAUUACAGUGACAUUGUAGUUCUGUAUUUGCUUGUAGGUUAAUGAAGUUGGGUACUCUUUCAUAUGUUAAUUGACUAUUUGAAUAUCUUGUUUUGUCAAAAGCCCUUUCUAGUCUUAAAAAAAGGGGGGAAAUGCUUAUUCAGGUCUUCUGAAACAAAAAAUUGGGUUGCUUUGUUGAAUUGUCUUGUAGAAUUACAGAUAUUUUUAAUAAUAAGUGUUAUGGAUUUGAGGUCUUGUUAGAAUAUAUAUGUUGUAAAUACCUACUUUUGUUUCCUGUGGUUUACCCUUUCACUCUUUUUGUGGACAGAAAUUCCUUUAAAAUAGUGUAAAUUAUCCAUUUUUUUUCCUUUUGUGGUCGGCACUAUUGUACUUAUUUAAGAAAUCUUGGCCUUAUUCUAAGAUCACAAAGAAGUUGUACGUUUUCAUCUGAAAGUUAUAUUAUUUUUCUUUUACAUUUGAGCCACAAUACAUCUGGAAUUGGUUUUAUUGUGUACGACGGGAGGUAGAGGGUCAAGAUUGAUUUUUUCCAUGUGGACAUGCACUUGAUCAGGAGCCAUCCUUUGGUCAUAGCUCUGUUUAUCUACCUGUUUAUUUCGGUUAGGCUCACUAAGGUACAAUGAACACAGUAAAAUUCAUUCUCUUGAAAUUGAUGGUUUGAUAAGCUUGAACAGUUCUAUAGCCACCACCACAAUCAAGAUGCAGAACAUACCCAACCUCUGAGAGAAUGCUCCUUCGUAGUAACAAUCACUCAUCUGAUUUCUGUCCCUAGAUUUUUUUCCUUUUUCAGAAUAUAUAAAUGAAGCCAUAGAGUAUGUAGACUUUUGUUUCAGAUUUCUUUUUUAAAAAUCUCAAAGAAUCUCAAAAAUUCAUCCCUGUGUUGCAGUACCAGUUGUUUGGUUUUUUUUAGAGUAGAAUUCCAUUGUGUAGAUUAUCCAUUUUUUUCCUUUUGUGGUCGCACUAUUGUACUUAUUUAAGAAAUCUUGGCCUUAUUCUAAGAUCACAAAGAAGUUGUACGUUUUCAUCUGAAAGUUAUAUUAUUUUUCUUUUACAUUUGAGCCACAAUACAUCUGGAAUUGGUUUUAUUGUGUACGACGGGAGGUAGAGGGUCAAGAUUGAUUUUUUCCAUGUGGACAUGCACUUGAUCAGGAGCCAUCCUUUGGUCAUAGCUCUGUUUAUCUACCUGUUUAUUUCGGUUAGGCUCACUAAGGUACAAUGAACACAGUAAAAUUCAUUCUCUUGAAAUUGAUGGUUUGAUAAGCUUGAACAGUUCUAUAGCCACCACCACAAUCAAGAUGCAGAACAUACCCAACCUCUGAGAGAAUGCUCCUUCGUAGUAACAAUCACUCAUCUGAUUUCUGUCCCUAGAUUUUUUUCUUUUUUCAGAAUAUAUAAAUGAAGCCAUAGAGUAUGUAGACUUUUGUUUCAGAUUUCUUUUUUAAAAAUCUCAAAGAAUCUCAAAAAUUCAUCCCUGUGUUGCAGUACCAGUUGUUUGGUUUUUUUUUUAGAGUAGAAUUCCAUUGUGUAGAUGGAACACAAUUUAUUUAUCCAUUCACCAAUUGAUGAACAUUUAGAUUAUUUAUAGUUUUUGGCUCUUAUGAAUAAAGUUAUUAUAAUUGCUCACUUUGUAAAUCUUUGUAUGGAUAUAUGUUUUAAUUUCUCUUGGGUAAAUUACUAGGAGUAGGUUUACUGAGUCAUAUACUGUGUAGCAAGUAUAUAUUUAACAUUAUACAAAAAAAUCCCUCUAGCUGUUCCCAAAGUGAUUGUGCCAUUUUGCAUUCCAUUCAGCAGUGUAUGAUAUUUUAGUUGCCCCAUGGUCUUUCUCCAGAUGGCGCUAGUGAUAAAAAAUUAUUCACAUUUGAAUCAGUUCUAAUGAGAUGGAUGAAACUGGAACCUAUUAUACAGAGUGAAGUAAGCCAGAAAGAAAAACACCAAUACAGUAUACUAACGCAUAUAUGUGGAAUUUAGAAAGAUGGUAACAAUAACCCUGUGUACGAGACAGCAAAAGAGACACCGAUGUAUAGAUCAGUCUUAUGGACUCUGUGGGAGAGGGAGAGGCGGGAGAUUUGGGAGAAUAGCAUUGAAACAUGUAUAAUAUCAUGUAUGAAACGAGUCGCCAGUCCAGGUUCAAUGCACGGUACUGGAUGCUUGGGGCUGGUGCACUGGGACGACCCAGAGGGAGGGUAGGGGAGGGAGGAGGGAGGAGGGUUCAGGAUGGGGAACGCGGGUAUACCUGUGGUGGAUUCAUUUUGAUGUUUGGUAAAACUAAUACAAUAUUGUAAAGUUUGAAAAUAAAAUAAAAUUAAAAAAAAAAAAGCUAAAAAAAAAAAAAGAAUUAUUCAGGAGAUACAAGAAACUUGUGUUUGAUCCCUGGAUUGGGAAGAUCCUCUGGAGGAGUACAUGGCAACCCACUUCAGCAUUCUUGCCUGGAGAAUCCCAUGGACAGAGGAGCCUGGUGGGCUACAGUCCAUAGAGUUGCAAACAGUCAAACACGACUGAGUGACUUAGUACACACACAAUCUCUCCAGAACGUGGUAUAAUCAGUCUCCGUAAUUUGGGCAAUAUGAGUUAGUAUGUAGUUUUAUCUCAUAACUCUAGUUCUUGUUUCCCUAAUCAUUAAUGAUGUUGAAAAUUUUUUCAUGUGCUUCUUUGCCAUCUGCCUGUCUUCUUUAGUGGAGUGUCUAUUCAAAUCAGUCACCCAUUUUAAAAAUAAAGUCAUCUAUCUUUUCAUUUUUGAGCUACAAUAAAAUAUUAUUCCAGAUACAAAGGGAAGGGAAGUCGCUCAGUCGU
rnacentral:lncRNA from 1 species